GGAUUCAAGGUUUAAAAAAUGCCAUUAAAAUUAACUAGACAUUGAAGCGUGAAGGAGACAAGACAAGAGGCCACACAAAAUAGUAGGAAUUGACAUUUAAGGCAAAAGGAACAAGAACCAGUAAUAAGGAAUGAUGAGUUCAAGGAACAACGGAGGAAGCCAAUGUGGUGUCAGCUGAAGAGAGGGAGAAAACACUAAAGGAUGCAACAAGAGACAUGAGGAGGCAGUAGGCAGUAUCUAACUCUUUGAGAUACGGUCAUCUUUACAGACAGAGUAUUUAGAUGGAUGACAAGUUACCGGAGGAACAGCACAACUAGAAGAUAAAAAUCCAAGGUUAAGUGAAGUUUAUUCCGGGAGAAUGCCCUUACACAAGAAGCUGGUGACUGCCUCAAGUUCCAGUUCCAAGGAUUCACCCUUGCCCUCUGUGACCCAACCAGAAGCAAGAGAGAGCAUUGGGGACUAGGACCCCAGACCCAGUCCUAUCCUCUGUCAUGUCCGCACCUGUGACCACGCCCAUUGGGUGUGGUCAGUGCUACUGGCACAGGCAGGGUGGAUGUCUUACUACAAUUCCCCUUGUAGCCUUCGAAAAAGAUUUGGGUUUGAUAUGAAACUACAUACAAAGACAGCAAAUAUCAAGUAUACUCUAGGAGAAGGAAAAGUAAGAACAAACACACUUAAGACCUAAUCUUGUAGAUAAAAGACAUGGGUGGUAAUAGUCUGUAAUUCUCAGAAACAUAGUUGUACAAUGACGGAAGCUUCCCAAAAUAAUUUAACUAGGGCAAUAACUUAAAAAAAUGUAACUAUAUACAU